GACGAACGCUGGCGGCGUGCCUAAUACAUGCAAGUCGAACGCAGUGGGGACGGGUGAGUAACACGUGGGUAACCUCCCAUCAGAGGGGAUAACACUUGGAAACAGGUGCUAAACCGACACUGAUGGAUGGACUCGCGGUGCAUUAGCUAGUUGGUGGGGUAACGGCUCACCAAGGCAACGAUGCAUAGCCGACCUGAGAGGGCGAUCGGCCACACUGGGACUGAGACACGGCCCAGACUCCUACGGGAGGCAGCAGUGGGGAAUCUUGGACAAUGGGGGAAAGCCUGACCGAGCAACCCCGCGUGUGUGAUGAAGGCUUUCGGAUUGUAAAACACUGUUGUUAGAGAAGCGGUAUCUGAACAGAAAGCCACGGCUAACUACGUGCCAGCAGCCGCGGUAAUUC
rnacentral:rRNA from 1 species